rnacentral:tRNA from 1 species
GGGGGCGUGGCUCAGUGGGUGGAGCAUCUGCUUGAUAUGCAGAAGGUUUAAGCCCCAGCUGUUGGAUUCAAAAUCUGGGUCCCUCA